rfam:Danio rerio chromosome 4, GRCz11 reference primary assembly.
GAUGAGGUGGCCGAGUGGUUAAGGCGAUGGACUGCUAAUCCAUUGUGCUCUGCACGCAUGGGUGCGCAUCCCAUCCUUGUCG